rnacentral:rRNA from 1 species
GGGGCGUAAAGCGCCUGUAGGUUGUUUAAUAAGUCUGUUGUUAAAGACUAGGGCUUAACCCUAGAAAAGCAAUGGAAACUACUAGACUAGAGUAUGGCAGGGGUAGAGGGAAUUUCUAGUGUAGCGGUGAAAUGCGUAGAUAUUAGAAAGAACACCGGUGGCGAAAGCGCUCUACUGGACCAUUACUGACACUCAGAGGCGAAAGCUAGGGUAGCAAAAGGGAUUAGAUACCCCUGUAGUCCUAGCCGUAAACGAUGGAUACUAGAUGUUGUGCAUUAAGUACAGUAUCCUAGCUAACGCGUUAAGUAUCCCGCCUGGGGAGUACGCUCGCAAGGGUGAAACUCAAAGGAAUUGACGGGGGCCCGCACAAGCGGUGGAGCAUGUGGUUUAAUUCGAUGCAACGCGAAGAACCUUACCAGGACUUGACAUACUGCAGAUUCUUUUGAGAAAAAGAAGUGCCUUCGGGAAUGCAGAUACAGGUGGUGCAUGGCUGUCGUCAGCUCGUGUCGUGAGAUGUUGGGUUAAGUCCCGCAACGAGCGCAACCCUUAUUUUUAGUUACUAAUUCGUUAGGUUCUCUAGAAAGACUGCCGGUGACAAACCGGAGGAAGGUGAGGAUGACGUCAAGUCAGCAUGCCCCUUAUGUCCUGGGCUACACACGUGCUACAAUGGUUAAGACAAAGAGUCGCGAGCUCGCGAGAGUCAGCUAAUCUCAUAAACUUAGCCUAAGUUCAGAUUGUAGGCUGCAACUCGCCUACAUGA